CAGCAGUGAGGAAUAUUGGUCAAUGGCCUAACGGCUGAACCAGCAACUUGGAGGAAUGUAUAGCAAUAGCUACUUGCAUCAUUGUAAAAAUGAUGCAGGAUCGACUAUGUCGAAUAAAAUUCUAGGUAGAAUUUUGAUAAUGACAUUGUCUGCCUAUGUGUCUUGACCAAAUUACGUGCCAGCAGUCGCGGUAAUACGUAGAAGACUAGUGUUAUUCAUGUUUAAUCGGUUUAAAGGGUACCUAGACGGUAAAUCAAGCCUAAAAUUAAAUGAAGGGACUAAUUUACUAGAGUUACUUAUGAGGGGGUAUUAAAGUACUGCUGGUGUAGAGAUGAAAUUCUGUCAUACCUCUUUUCAAUAGAAAAAUAAUGGCACAGGUAUAGGCGAAAGCAUCCCCUUAUGUGAUAACUGACGUUGAGGGACGAAGGCUUUGUGUAGCGAACAGGAUUAGAUACCCCAGUAGUCAAAGCAGAAAAUGAUGAAUGUCAUAGAUUAGAUAAAUAAGUUUAUUCCUAUAAAUGAAAGUGUAAGCAUUCCACCUCAAGAGUAAUUUGGCAACAUUGGAACUGAAAUCAUUAGACCGUUUCUGAAACCAGUAGUGAAGUAUGUUAUUUAAUUCGAUGAUCCGC
rnacentral:rRNA from 1 species